rnacentral:rRNA from 1 species
UACGUAGGUGGCGAGCGUUGUCCGGAUUUAUUGGGUUUAAAGGGUGCGUAGGAGGGCAGGUAAGUCAGUGGUGAAAUCUCCAAGCUUAACUUGGAAACUGCCGUUGAUACUAUCUGUCUUGAAUGUUGUGGAGGUGAGCGGAAUAUGUCAUGUAGCGGUGAAAUGCUUAGAUAUGACAUAGAACACCAAUUGCGAAGGCAGCUCACUACACAAUUAUUGACUCUGAGGCACGAAAGCGUGGGGAUCAAACAGG